UCUUACCUUGCUGGCUUCUGGGAAAAUCGGCCCAAGGUGCGAGUGUGUUUGUGUCUGUGUGUGCCCUGCAUGCACUGGUGUCCGAUCUAGGGUGUACCCCACUGGCGCCAUGACUAGCGUGGACAGUCUCCUGUUCCCCCAAGACCCUGAUUGGAAGAAGCGGUUAGAAAAUGGAUGGAUGGGAGGUGGUGAUAAGUCGCUCCAAACAGACUUUAGUCUCUUUUCCUGCUGCCAGCCAAAGCAAGUGACCCGGAGAUCAGCAAUUCUUGGGCGAACCCAUGAAAAUUAAAUUACAUCUAGAUUUUUAUAUAACAUUGCUGUUAAUUAUCAAAAUAAAUUGCAAACUGAAUGUAUUGGCACCUGAUAAAUGACAAGCCAGGGGUCAGGUGGCAACCCUUAGCCCACAUUAAGUACUGUCUUUGACCCACCUGUCAGCAACAAGUUUAAAAACUACCAGUGGCUUCUUAUACUGCACAGAGGACUGGUUAAAGUGUUGAUUUAAUCCAUGCCAUAGUCCCCUCCUCCCUUUAGCAGAAAGCUGCUUACACUAAAAAAAGUAGAGACAAACCGGAGUCUAGCCUAGAAACAUAGGGAUCAGGAUGGGACUGUGAGCACAGGACCCUUCUGCCUCUGGAUGGGAUGAAAGGCACAGAGGAAAGGGACAGUUGAGAGUAGCCAAUCACACCUAGCUAGUGCUUUUUGGAAAUGGGAGGAAAGCGGAGACAAUCCGCAUGAACACAGAGAGACAAAGCAAAUCAAGCCCAGGAUGCUGAUCACUGAUACAGCGGCACUGACUGCCACUUCACUUGCUAGCCCUUGCUUUUUGCACAGGCACAGAAGAGUGUUUGGAAAGAAAAAUGAACACUACUGAUCCACAGCAGUCAACGCCCACUGCUAUUUCAGCUCGGCUCCAGAACCAAACGAGGGUUUUGAAACGGUUUAUUUUUUUCACAUUUUUAUUUUGAAGUGAAAGUUUUUUAAAUUUUGUGAUUCUGAAAAACUGAUGGUCUAGAGGACAGGAGAUGCCAACAGGAGAAAGUGUGAUACAGCAUUUAACCAACUCACAGGACAAAAUAAUAAGACCCAUACUGUACAAAUGGUCUCUCUUACUGGCAAGCAAUGUAAGGGUGGCUUGAGCAAUAGAAAGCUGCCCAUCACCAUUAUUGGCCUGAACAAUUCUCUGUCCUAUUGAAAGCUGAUGGGACAGGUUCCAGUAUUGGCUUCCAAUAUCAUGUCCAGUGAAUGCAUAACAUUAUGAAGGUCCCGGUACAGCCCCAGGUUACAUUUUACUUGCCAGACAUCAAACGACAUCUUUAUUGGAUGGAAAUCUGAGAUUCCUAAGCCGUCAAGCCUAGACUGUGAUCAUUAGCCCCAAAGCCUCUCCUGUCUGUAAAGACAAUCAGUGUAAUGCACAGGGUAAUUUCAUCACCUCUCUGCAGCUCCUCGCAUUACCUCUGUGCUCCUUAAUUUGUUGACAGAGGCUUUGCAGUAAAGCAAGAUUUGAGAUACCGACGGAGCCAUCGAGCACCAGAGCGCGCGGAGCUGGCGUGGGAAGAGGAGACACACAGGCGUUUCCUACUGCAGUCCCCACCCGGGCAGUGACAGCUUGAAACAACUCCUUCUCCAACACUAUUCCCCUCACCCUCCCAGACCCCAAAUGCACUGCAGCAGUAUAUCAAGGUGAGUGUCAAGUGCACCUGCCCUGUAACCCUUGUAUCAAACCAUCUCCUGCUUCUCAGAAUAGCAGCGUAUGUCAUCAAAGUUUCAAUUGUAAAGAAAACAAGGCAGUACAAACAAAGAAAAUAUAUAAAUACAUUAUAUAUAAAAUUA